AUCUCAAAGUUUGGUUCUGGCUUUUUGCUUAGCUUUAUCUAGGUUGAUACAUGAUAAUUUACGUGGGCUCGUAAGGAUUGUUUUAUCUAAAAGAACAUUGUUAGAUUUUAAUUUAUUUAUAAUUUCUGAACUAUUUACAGCGUCAGUACAAAAAAUUAAAACUUAAGUGUAAGCUUGAUUUAGCCAUGGAUUAGAGAAUUGGCCAAUUUUGUGCCAGCUGCUGCGGUUAUACAAAGAAUUCGAGUUAAGGUUUUUGGUUUAAAUGUGGUUAGUUGAUUGUUCGACAAAUAAAUUCUUGUUUAGGGGUAAAAUCUGCUAACAUUUUUGGCUUUUGAGUGUCUUAGUUGUUUUAUGACGCCACAAAAUUUUAAAUUUAAACCAGGAUUAGAGACCCUGCUAUUUUACUUUUUAUUUAAAUACACCUGGGUAUUAAAAGAAAUCUUAAAACCCAAAGGACUUGGCGGUGUUCCACCCACCUUAGAGGAGCCUGUUCUGUAACCGAUAAUCCGCGAUUAAGUGUUCUUUUAUUGUUUUUAGAUAGUUUGUGUAUUUCCGUUGUCAGCUCAUAUUUAGAAAUCAGUUAUGAGCAAAAAAAUUUUUGUUGAGACAUCAGGUCCCAGUGCAGCUAGUAUAAAAGUAGAAAUGGGCUACAUUAAUUUAGUUUAGUGAAUAAAGCUGUGGAAACUAGCUUAUGAAAUUGUAUUUAAAAGUAAUUGUUGAUUAAAAUGUAGCAAUGAAAUGUGCUCUGAAAUGUGUACAAAUCGCCCGUCGCUCUUUUUGUUUAAAAAAGAUAAGUCGUAACAUAGUAAGAGUAGCGGAAGCUGCUCUUAUUUUG
rnacentral:ncRNA from 1 species